rnacentral:rRNA from 1 species
UACGAAGGGGGCUAGCGUUGUUCGGAAUUACUGGGCGUAAAGCGCGCGCAGGCGGCUAUCCAAGUCAGUGGUGAAAGCCCGGAGCUCAACUCCGGAACUGCCAUUGAAACUGUUUAGCUUGAGGAUGAGAGAGGUGAGUGGAAUUCCCAGUGUAGAGGUGAAAUUCGUAGAUAUUGGGAAGAACACCGGUGGCGAAGGCGGCCAUCUGGACCGGCACUGACGCUGAGGCGCGAAAGCCAGGGGAGCGAACGGG